rnacentral:rRNA from 1 species
UGGGGAAUAUUGCACAAUGGGCGCAAGCCUGAUGCAGCCAUGCCGCGUGUGUGAAGAAGGCCUUCGGGUUGUAAAGCACUUUCAGCGAGGAGGAAGGUGGUGAACUUAAUACGUUCAUCAAUUGACGUUACUCGCAGAAGAAGCACCGGCUAACUCCGUGCCAGCAGCCGCGGUAAUACGGAGGGUGCAAGCGUUAAUCGGAAUUACUGGGCGUAAAGCGCACGCAGGCGGUUUGUUAAGUCAGAUGUGAAAUCCCCGGGCUCAACCUGGGAACUGCAUUUGAAACUGGCAAGCUAGAGUCUCGUAGAGGGGGGUAGAAUUCCAGGUGUAGCGGUGAAAUGCGUAGAGAUCUGGAGGAAUACCGGUGGCGAAGGCGGCCCCCUGGACGAAGACUGACGCUCAGGUGCGAAAGCGUGGGGAGCAAACAGGAUUAGAUACCCCUGGUAGUCCACGCUGUAAACGAUGUCGAUUUUGGAGGUUGUGCCCUUGAGGCGUGGCUUCCGGAGCUAACGCGUUAAAUCGACCGCCU